AUGGGGGUUUCACCAUGUUGGCCAGGCUGGUCUCGAACUCCUGACCUCAGGUGGUCAGCCCACCUUGGCCUCUCAAAGUGCUGGGAUUACAGGCAUGAGCCACCAUGCCUGGCCAGCUUACCCUUUUUGUUGUUCAAGGUUAUGCUUUGGGGAUUUGCCUGUGUUCAUACAGAGAGCUGCAGUUCAGUCAGUUCAAGUCUGAAGUCUAGAGUAUUCCACCGGGUUAAUACACCACCAGUUAUGUAUUCAUUUUUCUGCUGUGGGCAUUUAGGAUGUUGCAAGUUUGUGCUGUUACUUCAAUUAACAGUUUCCUAUCAGCCUGCUUGUCUUCUUGCUAGAAUGUGUCUAGAGCGCGUAUCUAGGAGUGGAAUUGCUGGGUCAAGGGAUCUGCAAAUAUCCAGCCUCACCAUAUGUUACCAAAUUGGAUUUCACAGUGAUCAAUAGCAACAUAAACUCUCACUGGUGGUGUGGAACAGUUCCUGUGGCCCUGCCUGCUCACCAGACAUUUAGUGUUGCCAAAAUGUGUAAUUUUUGGCCAAUCUGGUGGGUAGGAAACUCACUGUUCAGUAUUUGAGGACUCAAGAGCUAGGAAAUGCUUAAGAGGGAAGGUUACUGACCGUUUUUGAGGACCUGCUCUGGGCAAGGCACUGCAACACCAUCUGCUUGAAUUCUCCUAGCAAACUCUGCUAACUUGAUAUGAAUAUCCUCUUUUCACUAAUGAGGAAAUCGAGGCUGGUUCAGGGUCCCACUGAUGGUGGAAGAGCCAGGAUUCGAGUUCAGCUCUGUCUGUCCCCCAAACCCCGCCCUCCCCUUACCAACUUCUCCAUAGUCCAAAUGUCUCACCUCCACAGAGAAGAAAAUCAUGCUCUAGAGAGGCAAGGCAGCGUGACUGUCCCACAAUGAGCAGGUGGCAGAGAGGACUGGAAGCCUGCUCCAUAGGGGUGACCGACCUGUGAGAGCUCUCCCUGGAAGCUCUCCUGGCUCUCCUGGCCCUGUGGCAUCCACAUACCCUGAGCAGGACCACCACAGGGCAACGUCACUAUUGCUGCCCAGUUCCUGAACCUGCCCCAUCUCCUGGCCUUUGGGAGAGGGGGAUGUUAGCUACAAGCUGUCACUUAUGUGCCAGGAGGUGUGCUAUGUGGUGUACUUACAUGACCUAGAUAUCCUCAUCAUUUCCAUUUUGCAGGUGAUGUGAUGAAACUCAGAGAGCUUCGUUUCCCCCAUGCUGUUCCCACUCACACACCCUGGCCUCAAGCCCCACGUUCUCACUCUCUUUUCCAGCCAGGAGAAUGCCAGAAAUGUGCCUGGAGGGAAAUAGCUGGGGAGAUGAGCCUCAUUUUACUGCUUCUGUUCAAGGCUCUUCCAAGCUGAGUGUUAAAUGCCAUUCCUUUUUUCUUUUCCUAAAAUGAACUGUACUUAAAAAAAAAAAAAAACCCCAACCUUUUAACUUUAGAAUAGUUUGAGAUGUACAGAAAAGUUGCGAAGCUGAUAUAGAGUUUCCAUAUACCCCAAACCCAGAUUCUCGUAGUUAACAUGUGACAUUAGCAAGGUAUGUUUGUCACAAUUCAUGAACCAGUAUUAUUAAUUAUAAUAUUAUAACUAAAGCCCAUACUUUACUCAGAUUUCCUUAGUUGUUUUGUUGUUGUUUUGUUUUUGUUUGUUUGAGACAGAGUCUCGCUGUGUCACCCAGGUUAGAGCACAAUGACUCAAUCUCGGCCCACUGCAACCUCCACUUCCUGGGAUCAGGUGAUUCUCCUGCCUCAACCUCCCACGUAGCUGGGAUUACAGGUGCCUACCACCAUGUCUGGCUAAUUGUUGUAUUUUCCUAGAGACAGGGUUUUGCUAUGUUGGCAAGGCUGGUUUCCAACUCCUGACCUCAGGUGAUCCGCCCGCCUUGGCCUCCCAAAGUGCUGAGAUUAUAGGCAUGAGCCACUGUGCCUGGCCAGGUUUCCUUAAUUUUUACCUAAAUGUCUGUUUCCCGCCCCAGGAUCCCAUCUGGAAUACCACAUAGUCA
rnacentral:lncRNA from 1 species